rnacentral:rRNA from 1 species
UACGUAGGGGGCUAGCGUUGUCCGGAUUUAUUGGGCGUAAAGAGCGUGUAGGCGGCCAGGUAGGUCUGCUGUGAAAACUCGAGGCUCAACCUCGAGACGUCGGCGGAAACCAUCUGGCUAGAGUCCGGAAGAGGAGAGUGGAAUUCCUGGUGUAGCGGUGAAAUGCGCAGAUAUCAGGAAGAACACCCGUGGCGAAGGCGGGUCUCUGGACAGUUCCUGACGCUGAGGCACGAAGGUCAGGGGAGCAAACGGG